UACUCUAAUGGAUGGAUUGUUGU
rnacentral:siRNA from 1 species